UGAAUUGGAAACAAAUUGGUAGAAUUGGGAUGCCGUUAGUGUUAGAAUUUGUCAAUUUCUCUGUCAAAACAGUUAGGUGCAAUGAGGUUAGUGAGCUCAAUUAGUUGAACUAGUUGUGUUAGCAAAAAUGUGAAUUAUAGUUAGGUGCUUUGAAUUUCAGUUAGUGAAGGAGAUGCUAGUUCAAUGUAAAACCAAUUAGCAUCAUUUAGUCAAAGAAGCAAUUUGAAAGUCUCAAAAUCUUUGGAGUUAGUUAUUGGUUACAAUUUGUUAUCACUGUUAAGUUGAACUUAGAUGAGUUAGUUAAUUGACAGCAGGAACCAGGAUGUCUUGCUGUUAUGAACAUGGUGUUGCAAUGAGUUAUGCUUACAGUUAGAGUUACAUGGAUGGCCUGCUAAACUGUCAUGGACUUUGUCAUGUACUUAUGACCUUAAAUGGUUGUUUUUUCUUGCAUGUGAAUGGAUAUGUAGAUGCUUUUGUGGCAUGUUGGUUAGUUUGAAUUGGUUUCAUUCCGGUUUGAAUGUAUGUGUAUGCAUUAAAUUAGUUGUGGUAUUUGAAAUUGAAGGUAAUAAGUGGACUGUAUGAUGAUUGUGUGUAUGUAUUUGUUGCAGGACUUGUGCACCUGGGAAGGCUUGGCAAUGCAUUUUGGACUAUGGAUAAGCUUAGCAUUCCAUGGCCCAUCGAGAUGGGAGUGUUGUACAACACCAAGAAUUGUGAAAAAGGGGGGAUGAUUUAUAGUUGACUUUGGUCAAAUGUUUGACCAAAAGGUCAAUAUUUGA
rnacentral:lncRNA from 1 species